CCUACGGGUGGCAGCAGUGAGGAAUAUUGGUCAAUGGACGGAAGUCUGAACCAGCCAUGCCGCGUGCAGGAAGACGGCUCUAUGAGUUGUAAACUGCUUUUGUACAAGGGUAAACCUGAAUACGUGUAUUCAGCUGAAAGUACUGUACGAAUAAGGAUCGGCUAACUCCGUGCCAGCAGCCGCGGUAAUACGGAGGAUCCAAGCGUUAUCCGGCUUUAGUGGGUUUAAAGGGUGCGGAGGCGGAUUGAUAAGUUAGAGGUUAAAUGUCCGAGCUUAACUCGGGAACUGCCUCUAAUACUGUUGAUCUAGAGAGUAGAUGCGGUAGGCGGAAUGUAUGGUGUAGCGGUGAAAUGCUUAGAGAUCAUACAGAACACCGAUUGCGAAGGCAGCUUACCAAUCUAUAUCUGACGUUGAGGCACGAAAGCGUGGAGAGCAAACAGGAUUAGAUACCCCUGUAGUC
rnacentral:rRNA from 1 species